rfam:Colletotrichum fioriniae PJ7 Scaffold_665.1, whole genome shotgun sequence.
GGCAACUUGGCCGAGCGGUCUAAGGCGCCAGACUCAAGUUUCCCAUCAAAUGGUAACUUCCCCACAAACGGGGCGUAUUCUGGUCUCGAAAGAGGCGUGAGUUCGAAUCUCACAGUUGUCA